CCGCUGCCGGCGCGGCUUGAUGCGCUUGCGGCGCUUGCGGUGCGGCGGCUGCAGCGGCCGGUUCCACCGCCGGCGCGGCUGC
rnacentral:tRNA from 1 species